GCCGACGUAGCUCAGUUGGUAGAGCGACACACUCGUAACGUGUAGGUCGCCGGUUCAAUCCCGGCCGUCGGCUCCA
rnacentral:tRNA from 1 species